rnacentral:rRNA from 1 species
CUGGNUCAGGAUGAACGCUGGCGGGUGCNUAAUACAUGCAAGUCGAGCGAACUGAUUAGAAGCUUGUUCUAUGACGUUAGCGGCGGACGGGUGAGUAACACGUGGGCAACCUGCCUGUAAGACUGGGAUAACUUCGGGAAACCGAAGCUAAUACCGGAUAGGAUCUUCUCCUUCAUGGGAGAUGAUUGAAAGAUGGUUUCGGCUAUCACUUACAGAUGGGCCCGCGGUGCAUUAGCUAGUUGGUGAGGUAACGGCUCACCAAGGCAACGAUGCAUAGCCGACCUGAGAGGGUGAUCGGCCACACUGGGACUGAGACACGGCCCAGACUCNUACGGGAGGCAGCAGUAGGGAAUCUUCCGCAAUGGACGAAAGUCUGACGGAGCAACGCCGCGUGAGUGAUGAAGGCUUUCGGGUCGUAAAACUCUGUUGUUAGGGAAGAACAAGUACGAGAGUAACUGCUNGUACCUUGACGGUACCUAACCAGAAAGCCACGGCUAACUACGUGCCAGCAGCCGCGGUAAUACGUAGGUGGCAAGCGUUAUCCGGAAUUAUUGGGCGUAAAGCGCGCGCAGGCGGUUUCUUAAGUCUGAUGUGAAAGCCCACGGCUCAACCGUGGAGGGUCAUUGGAAACUGGGGAACUUGAGUGCAGAAGAGAAAAGCGGAAUUCCACGUGUAGCGGUGAAAUGCGUAGAGAUGUGGAGGAACACCAGUGGCGAAGGCGGCUUUUUGGUCUGUAACUGACNCNAAGGCGGGCAAGCGUGGGAG